GAUUGCUAAGUUUCGUAGUCCCCUCAAGACCUUUGUGAGGUAGAAGAAUCUCCAGUCUUUGCCCCUUCGCAAGCGACGGAAUGAAGAGGCAAAAAAAGAAAAGAGACUUAGUAAUAUGUAGAAUGAGGGCGGCUUUGCUGUAGAAGGGAGUCGCAGUUCGGAGAUUUGGGGGCGCACGUAUCUGCCUUGCCUCUGGUCGCCGCCACAGGCGCAGCAAGGCAGGUGCAAGAAGUGGCCCGGAGCCUGCGAGCGCGGCCCCGCCUGGCCAGCCAGCCGCCUCCCGAGCCCUCUAAGGUCGGGACAGGGAGAGGCCAGCGUUUGUUUUGCCGUGGGAAACUGUGCUCUUAAAUUUUUUUUUAAUAAGUUUUUAUUUUCCAAGUCCUAAGUUGCAAAAUGUGAACGGUGGCUACCACAGAACAUUCCAAAAACUCGUUACUGUUUACCAGAGGAUAAUGGUGCUUAAAGCUUUUAGAAUUUUGCCACCUUAGCUUUUACCGAGGAUUCUUAUCAAUAUCAAUACCGACAUAUUACAAUAAUGGGGUUGGAUGCCCGUAGUUCUGAAGAAUUAAGCUAAAUGAACACUAGUGUAAGAUGCUUAAAGAUAAAGAAGUUUAUUGAGCACCUUUUGGGUACAUUGUAUCAUAACAGAAAGUCUGAUUUCAUUAAAAGCUGGAACAACUUUACCUACGGACCAGUAAGAGAUCUGGACUAUAUGGAGAACAUAUGGAAUUCUGGAGUCGUGAACCAUCUGGAAGGGGUCGAAGACACAUAUGCAAGUUCAGGCAGAUAAUAUCAACUAAUUGCUUGGUCCUUCUGUGAUUAACCAAAUGGAUCACAUUUGUAAAAUGGGAAGGUCCUGCUACUUACAAUCUUCAUCAGCAAGGAGGAAGGACUCAAGGGUUCUCUCCGGGAGUGGAGGUGGUGGGGAAGCAGAGCGAUCUCGAUGCAGAUCUGCGACUCCUGGUGAUUGUAAUCAGUGCCAUGCAGAUUUUCCCUUAAUGUUCCCAUGCAGAUUUUCAGUGCAGCCCUGUGCACACCCGACACUGCAGUUCAGCUGUGACAUCAGGGAAGUCCUACAACCAAUCUGAGAUCCUUGACCAAGCACAAGUACAGAAAAAAAUUGGACAGCACAUCCAGUUUGGACCCUACCUCUGUUCCGGUGUAUUUAUCUCUGACGACAUCGAGGUGUCUCUUGAACAGCUCCAACACAGCACUGUAGACCAGUUCAUAUUGUUCCUGAGGAUCGUCGUGAACCGGAACAAAUGAAAAAACAAAUAUUGGUGAAGCACAGAACCAGACUUCAGUAAUAAGAACUCCAAUCAAACACUAACACGGCAGAACUGAAAGGACCAGCAUCGUCUCUUCAGGAUCUUCCUUGACAAUUUACACAGUCCUAUUCAAAGAAAGAGCACCUUUUUCUAAAGAUAAUUUUAGUAGAACCCUGCAGAGCUGUAUCCCUCAACACAACCACGGAUGCAUUAUUUUUGUCAAGACAGAAACAUCAGACAGGAAGCGUUCAUCUGGUUUAGCGUCCUUUUGUGGUUAUAGUAGUAUCAGGAAAAGCAGCUACAACUGUUAAAAUAUGUGUUUGGCUACUCAAUGACAAACCAACAUACGAAGUCUUUUUCAACUGUCUUCCAACUCUUAGAAGUAGGCCUGCAAUGGAAUUUUCCUGAAAUGAGGUGUGGUUUUAUUCAUUUGGAAUUACGGUGUACAUAACUAGACUGUGUACUUCCUGGAGUCUUUUAUGCAUUGACAAGGGUUAUGUUCUUUUAAGUCUGAUAACACUAAACCAGCUAAUGCUUCCAUUUCACAUAAACUUUCCCCCCCACAGAUGGAAUAUAGAAUACACCUACAGUUAACACAUGAAAAAAUAUAUUUUUUCCAUAAGCUAUUAAUGGAAAACCUGUGUGGGCUGAACAGAUAAAUCUAUAUUAUAACAGCUCUUUAU